GGCGUCUCGGAAGACACCUGGAGAAAGAUGAUUUAUGUCAUAGUGCAGAAAGGAAGCGAUUUGAGGAAACGGGGCAGGAGCUGGCCGAGCUGCUGGAUGAGGAGAAACUUAGUGGCGUACCUGUUUUGAUCUUUGCCAAUAAGCAAGACCUGCUGACUGCUGCUCCGGCCUCUGAGAUCGCAGAGGGACUGAACCUGCGCACCAUUCGGGACCGCAUGUGGCAAAUUCAGUCCUGCUCUGCACUUACAGGAGAGGGGGUUCAGGAUGGCAUGAACUGGGUCUGCAAGAACGUUACAGCAAAGAAGAAGCAAAGGCAGGGCUAAUGUCACACCUCCAUCAAACCCUACGUAGCCAUGGCAACUGCUCCAGCUGCUUUAUGUUCAUGUCAGAACUGGUAAGUGUGUGGAGACCUGCUGUUUCAUAAAUGUUAAAGGCACUGCCUGCUUUUCUCUAGAAUAACUCAUAGAUAUUGAUCCCUUAUUCUUGGUAACUGAAAUGCUUACUUGGAAAUCCAGUGCCUGAUUGACAGACAAAGCACUCAGAGAUGGUUGGGGUUCACAAAAGAACUCAUUCCUCAGAGUAUAUAUUCACUCAACUCCUUGCUUGGCCCAGUCUCCAGUCCAAGCACUCAGCAAACACUGCACUCUUAAAACAAAGAGACACAGAGUGGGCUUCAAUGCACCGGGACUGUCAGCACCUUCUUUCACAAAUCAGUGAGCAACAGACAUUGGCUGAUUUUUUAGUUUGUCCCCUGAAUGACACUGAACUGGAAUUCUCCACAGAGGCCAACUGGCCUGUGAAGGACAUGGUGAUGAGGUGCGCCAGCUGCAGGUGAGGCCAACCCACAGACUUCUGAUUCCACUUUCUAGCUUAAAACAUUGAGGUUAAUAUUGAGUUACAAACCUGUUUAAAAUUUUGUUAUACUGAAGAAAAGAAAAUUCUGUCAUCUUCCAACCUUUAUACCUUUCUUUCUCAUGUUUCAACUGUUUUGUUAAAACAGAUGUUGUUUAUGUAGUGAAAUACAAUGGUCCAAAACAACAUUGGACCCUACUGACUUUAACAAAAUUAAUUGUAAUAUUAAGAUAAGUAUUAUCGAUCUAACUGUACUGACACCAUCAGAUGACAACAAAAUUUGACCUGAAUUGAUCUAGACAAUGACACUAACUUUGCAAUGCUGACAAUGUUGUUGAACUGAACUGAAUCAACACUGAAGUGAAUUGAGCUGAAUUAUGACCUUAUUGCCUUCUGAAGAGCUGCUUACAGAUGAAUUGAACAAAUUUUUAAUAACUGAUUAACUUUGUAACAUUGACAGUUAUUGCACUAAAUUGAGUUGAAUAAUGACAUUAUUGCAUUCUGAAGUGCUGCAUUACAAAAAAUGAAUUUGUUUCAUAAUUGAUCAUAACACUUUAGUAUAGGCAUCAUCUCUCACUAUUAACUAAGUUUAAUGAGGUCAACUGAGUUUAAUGAGGCACAAGUAAUAGUUAAUGGUUUGUUAAUAGUAAGAAUUGGGCCUUAAAUUAAAUUGUGAGCAUUGAUAAUUUUAGAUUUACACUGUUGUUUUCCUGUUUAUUAAUGUGAAGCAGCUUCUUUUAAUAAUCUGUGUUGUACAAAUUAUAUAAACAAAUGUGAUAAAAAAAAAACUUUUGCAUUCCCACAGACGAAAGAAAGGUUUGCAAGUAUAGAAUCAUGAAUGAACAGAAAUUAAUUUUUGAGCAUUUUUUUUUUUUUCAUGAAAUCUAAACUGACAACUCUUAUGGAAUAUUCCCGUGUUUAUUCUAUUUUUUUUUUUUUUAGUCUUUCAAGAAGCCAUUUUAUUUAGAUAUACAUUGCAAAUGGAAAGAAAACAUUUGUCAUUUCUUGCUGUUUUGUCUCUGAAAAAUGUCCAGUACUCCGUUCCGUGCUGAAUAUUUAGGAAUAAUGAAUCCUACGGAAAGCAUCCAAUGACCUUACAGAUUUUUUUUGCAGUUACUAACUUUUGCCUUUGAUGACAUUUCCCGUUUCCAUUUUUGCUGGUGUUGUCUUUUCUUGUAAUCCUCCUGGCUUGAUGAUUCAUAACCACAUAUGUGUAGAAAUCUAUGAGGUUUACAGUAAAAGUUGUGAUUUCAAAAUGAACAUUGCAACACAUAGGUAGCCGUAACAGUAAGGAAAGCAGGAAGAGAGAGCUGUGCCACAAUGCUCAGAAUAACUACGUCUAAUGAGAUGAUGACAUCUUUCAUUUACACAACAUGAUCACAUUAACUGUUUCUGUUUGAAUGGCUUAAUACAGGGCUAUUCAAUUGGCGGCCCACGGGCCACAUGCGGCCCGGAAGCAACCUCCAAAUGGCCCAGCCCGUGGUCCCGCCAAAAACGCACAUCCCUACGUGAAUUCAUACAGUGUCACGAUGAUCUCAAUUUGGCACUACAAGGCAGAGACAAAACUGUCAUCGACCUUGUGGAACAGAUGCGUGCAUUCCCAGUUAAACUGGACCUUUUCGCAACUGAUUUGAUCACAGGCCGAAUGCUGCAUUUUCCGACACUCCGCAAAUGCAUCUCAUCCCCCGCACAAAUCACAGAUGUGAUGACAGAUUUUAUUGCGAGGUUGAAAAUGAACUUUGCUGGUCGAUUGGAUGGACUUGUUCUGCCCACAGAGGUGGCCGUUUUUGUCAGAGACCCGUUCACUGUUGCAAUAGAAGGGGACUUAUCCGCCAGAGCAAAACAAGUGGUUCCUUCCAUUGAUGAGGGGAAAUUCACACUCGAACUUGUUGACAUGCGGUCAUCUGUAACCAUGGCACAGGAGCUUUGCACUAACGGCCCUACAAUGUUUUGAACUAAUGUCAAUGUACAUCAGUUUCCUAACAUUAAGAAAGUAGCGAUCGUCAUGCUCAGUAUGUUUGGUUCAACUUACACAUGUGAGUCAAGCUUUUCACACAUGAACUCCAUAAAAAGCAACUCUCGUUGCUCCCUGACUGACCGUACUCUCCACCAAUGCCUUCGGAUUGCAUUGACAACUUACGAGCCUAAAG
ensembl:lncRNA